AGUUAGUGGUAAAGCCCUUGCAUUCGACCAGUCUAUCUAUGCAGGAUCUUUAGUCACUAGCUGC
rnacentral:pre_miRNA from 1 species